CCUACGGGCGGCAGCAGUCGAGAAUCAUUCACAAUGGGGGAAACCCUGAUGGUGCGACGCCGCGUGGGGGAAUGAAGGUCUUCGGAUUGUAAACCCCUGUCAUGUGGGAGCAAAUUAAAAAGAUAGUACCACAAGAGGAAGAGACGGCUAACGCUGUGCCAGCAGCCGCGGUAAUACAGAGGUCUCAAGCGUUGUUCGGAAUCACUGGGCGUAAAGCGGGCGUAGGCUGUUUCGUAAGUCGUGUGUGAAAGGCGCGGGCUCAACCCGCGGAAGGCAAUUGAUACUGCGAGACUAGAGUACUGGAGAGGGAACCGGAAUUCUCGGUGUAGCGGUGAAAUGCGUAGAUAUCAAGAGGAACACUCGUGGCGAAGGCGGGUUCCUGGACAUUAACUGACGCUGAGGCACGAAGGCCAGGGGAGCGAAAGGGAUUAGAUACCCUUGUAGUC
rnacentral:rRNA from 1 species